rnacentral:lncRNA from 1 species
CAGAACUUCCUGAAACAGAAUCUGUAGACAGUCUCCAGCUGUGUGAAGGACAGUAGCAGGGCCUGUCCAGAGCCCCCAGGAAUGACGACCCACACGCCGUGCUGGAGCGGGACCAGCUCCCUGUCCAGGCCAGCCCGGUCACCUCAUCCACGUGCCUGCAGGAGCUCCUGAAAGACCCACAGCCUCCCGGAGUUUAGAACCACCUCCUUCAGUGCCGGUCUCCUCGGGUUCCAGCCUCAGAACCAGGCACCGCUCCUCCAUUGUCACUGCGGUCAACCAUUUUCAAAGGGGUCUGUCCCCUCUCUUGGUGUGCGCCAUCUCACACAAGAUUAGGCCAGAGGACAGGAGGCUCGGGGUGUUACUUCUGCUCCUUCUAAUCACGGGCCUCCCGGAGCCCAGCACAGAGCAGACGGCUCGUAAAUACUUGUUGGAGUAGGAACACACGCACUUGCAGGUUUUCUGCGUUUCUCUGAUCCAUCCUCCAGGGUGAGGCUCCCCACCUCUGACGCCACAGGACCCUGGACAUGGGAUGUUUUGUCUCUGCUCUGACCUCGGCAAU